CGAGGUCUCGUCCAAAAUGGCUGUGGAGAAACAGUUAUGAAGAUGUGUCGAUCUACUCACCAAAUUAAUCUCUUGCAUGCUUCAAUUAAGCGGAGAGUCCUCUAACCGAGCUGGAGGACAUUUCUAGAAGGUGAGUGGAGGGCUGAGGAAGGAGAAGAGGAUUGUGGGCCAUCUUGGGAAAGGGACCCUGAAGAUUCUUUGGGAUCUUCAGCGACACCGUGUCAGACAUGAAAACCCAAGACUAUCGUCCCAGCCCUGUGAAAUCACAGACACAGAGUUUCACCCAACAACCCAGUGUGUAAUUUCAUGAAAGUCAAGUUUUGAAUACAAGGAAUAUUCCAGUUGUAGUCUGCAAUAAAGAUGACACUAUGAACAGUCUAUCAGGUAAAUUCCCAACCUAUUAACCCAACAUCUGGCCCCUUUAACACACGGUUGAGGUGUGUAAAUGCACACAUGCACACAAAUUUUAUUCCAACAAACACAUUCUUUAACUUGCAACAAAAACAGACCUACACACACAGAUUUGGUGGCCGGAGUGUAACCCUUCUUCUAACAUAAACACCAGAUCUCACCUUUGAACUCUUCACCUUUCAUCCUGCUAAGCGGUCCGUGGUGUUUUUCUUUCUUUUUAUGAACAUAACCGUGGCUAAAAAUAAGUUCUCAUUUCUUUCACCUAAAAUAGCUUACCGUCUUUCCCUUUAACUGUUCUCACCUUCUCCCAGCCAUUAUGAUGUUUCUGUAUUUAACCUAAUUAAUUCUGCAGUGGCCUAAAUGGGAUUAGGAAUUACCCUGCUUUGGGCAUACAGACCUCCAAAGACUUGAAUGUUCUUGGACUUCAUUUAAAUCUUUUCCAAUUUCAUCCGACAGCUAACACAUCUUUUUUUGUGAUAAACAAUUGAUUUUGGAUACUAUUAUUUUUAAGGAAUCUUUCCUUUGUUUUCAACUUAAAGCUCCCGUUCUUUCUGUGUUUUUGAAGAUUUGAUUGUGUUUAUAGUGGGCAAUAUAACGUGUUCAUGUUUCACGUGUAAAAAAAACACAGUAUUUUUCACACAAUUUACUUAUCUGUAUAGCGCUGUUGUCCUAAAAAUGGGCUGAUGUCUUCCUUGUUCUAUGAAGUCCCUCCUUCAGAAAUACAUAAUGAGUUCUGAUUGUGUAGUUUGUUUAGUGUGUUGUGAUUCGACAGCAGCUUAGCUUAGCAGAGCCGUUUGAGCCAAAGCUGGUGACUGAUGUAUUAAUGUGGGCGGAGUUUAGUCAAAAAAACAUUUUACUGACGUCAUUAAAGCAGGAAGUAGAGGGCUGUAGUCAAAACCAUAGACAGUAAAAGAAAUGGACACAGCGACCCCGUUGGAUUCAACGGAGACAAGUGAAGCCAAUUAGAAGCUCACACUUCCGGGGGGUCGAGCGUACUGCGCAGACUCAAACUGAGCUUGGUGACGUGAGCAACCUGACUGACAAGUGUAAGUCUUCUAGUAGCUGUGCCAAGAGAAAUCUGAAUCACCCACCGAAUCUUGCAGAAACGGCGAGCGUGAACAGGAGUCCAUUUUGUAUUAAGUAUAUUUAGUAUUCUGAUUAAUUACUUUGUCAUUUUGCAUAGUAUUUAUUUAUUUUAAUGUUUAACGCCAGUACGCUAUGUUCUACAUGCGCUUCUCCUCCUGUCCAUACGGUAAUUUCUCUACUGUGCGACAGAGAGUCGCGUGGUUAUGACGCAAUCGUUAGCAUAGUUUUACUAAAACUGCUUCUACUGUGCCUUAACGUAAGAUACAAGGUAAUGGAGCCUUUUAUACAUUUUCGUGUUUCUUUAGAAAUAAUUGAUGCACAAAUUGAGUCUUUAAACGCCUCAGAUGUAAAGUUAUUCACUGUCAAAGUGACGCCAAAAUGAAUGGGAGUCAAUGGAAUGCUAAGAGCAGGUGGGGGUCCGCUAGCUAAUGGCGGUGCCCAGGGCUGCUUCAAUAAAAUAUGAAACCCUG